GGGAAACAACCCAGACCGCCAGCUAAGGUCCCAAAGUCAUGGUUAAGUGGGAAACGAUGUGGGAAGGCCCAGACAGCCAGGAUGUUGGCUUAGAAGCAGCCAUCAUUUAAAGAAAGCGUAAUAGCUCACUGGUCGAGUCGGCCUGCGCGGAAGAUGUAACGGGGCUAAACCAUGCACCGAAGCUGCGGCAGCGACGCUGAUGCGUUGUUGGGUAGGGGAGCGUUCUGUAAGCCUGUGAAGGUGGCCUGUGAGGGUUGCUGGAGGUAUCAGAAGUGCGAAUGCUGACAUAAGUAACGAUAAAGCGGGUGAAAAGCCCGCUCGCCGGAAGACCAAGGGUUCCUGUCCAACGUUAAUCGGGGCAGGGUGAGUCGACCCCUAAGGCGAGGCCGAAAGGCGUAGUCGAUGGGAAACAGGUUAAUAUUCCUGUACUUGGUGUUACUGCGAAGGGGGGACGGAGAAGGCUAUGUUGGCCGGGCGACGGUUGUCCCGGUUUAAGCGUGUAGGCUGGUUUUCCAGGCAAAUCCGGAAAAUCAAGGCUGAGGCGUGAUGACGAGGCACUACGGUGCUGAAGCGACAAAUGCCCUGCUUCCAGGAAAAGCCUCUAAGCAUCAGGUAACAUCAAAUCGUACCCCAAACCGACACAGGUGGUCAGGUAGAGAAUACCAAGGCGCUUGAGAGAACUCGGGUGAAGGAACUAGGCAAAAUGGUGCCGUAACUUCGGGAGAAGGCACGCUGAUAUGUAGGUGAAGCGACUUGCUCGUGGAGCUGAAAUCAGUCGAAGAUACCAGCUGGCUGCAACUGUUUAUUAAAAACACAGCACUGUGCAAACACGAAAGUGGACGUAUACGGUGUGACGCCUGCCCGGUGCCGGAAGGUUAAUUGAUGGGGUUAGCGGUAACGCGAAGCUCUUGAUCGAAGCCCCGGUAAACGGCGGCCGUAACUAUAACGGUCCUAAGGUAGCGAAAUUCCUUGUCGGGUAAGUUCCGACCUGCACGAAUGGCGUAAUGAUGGCCAGGCUGUCUCCACCCGAGACUCAGUGAAAUUGAACUCGCUGUGAAGAUGCAGUGUACCCGCGGCAAGACGGAAAGACCCCGUGAACCUUUACUAUAGCUUGACACUGAACAUUGAGCCUUGAUGUGUAGGAUAGGUGGGAGGCUUUGAAGUGUGGACGCCAGUCUGCAUGGAGCCGACCUUGAAAUACCACCCUUUAAUGUUUGAUGUUCUAACGUGGGCCCCUUACCGGGGUUGCGGACAGUGUCUGGUGGGUAGUUUGACUGGGGCGGUCUCCUCCUAAAGAGUAACGGAGGAGCACGAAGGUUGGCUAAUCCUGGUCGGACAUCAGGAGGUUAGUGCAAUGGCAUAAGCCAGCUUGACUGCGAGCGUGACGGCGCGAGCAGGUGCGAAAGCAGGUCAUAGUGAUCCGGUGGUUCUGAAUGGAAGGGCCAUCGCUCAACGGAUAAAAGGUACUCCGGGGAUAACAGGCUGAUACCGCCCAAGAGUUCAUAUCGACGGCGGUGUUUGGCACCUCGAUGUCGGCUCAUCACAUCCUGGGGCUGAAGUAGGUCCCAAGGGUAUGGCUGUUCGCCAUUUAAAGUGGUACGCGAGCUGGGUUUAGAACGUCGUGAGACAGUUCGGUCCCUAUCUGCCGUGGGCGCUGGAGAACUGAGGGGGGCUGCUCCUAGUACGAGAGGACCGGAGUGGACGCAUCACUGGUGUUCGGGUUGUCAUGCCAAUGGCACUGCCCGGUAGCUAAAUGCGGAAGAGAUAAGUGCUGAAAGCAUCUAAGCACGAAACUUGCCCCGAGAUGAGUUCUCCCUGAGACUUAGAGUCUCCUGAAGGAACGUUGAAGACGACGACGUUGAUAGGCCGGGUGUGUAAGCGCAGCGAUGCGUUGAGCUAACCGGUACUAAUGAACCGUGAGGCUUAACCUUACAACGCCGAAG
rnacentral:rRNA from 1 species